GGUCAUACAAAGAAUUUUGAUGGAAGUGUUCAAUUUGUCAAGGGGCAUACAAGUAUGAAAGAUGUUGUAGAUGGAGCUGUUAAGAUUUUGACUGUUAUAGUAUGUAUCCAUAUGAAAGACUUGGAUUUUGUUAUUCUAGUUACUAAUUAACCUGUGAAUUAUAAAUAGGUGACUAUUAUGGUUGUUGUUGUACCUGAAGGUCUUCCAUUGGCUGUUACAUUGACUCUUACCUACUCAAUGAAGAAGAUGGCAAACAAAGCAUUGAUAUGCUUCUCUUCUUAUCAAACUAGAAUCCAUACGUUCAACUAUUAGUAAGUUGCUACGUUACAGCUUCAGAGGCUAUCAGCUUGUGAAAUGAUUGGAUCUACCACUACCAUCUGCAACGAUAAGAACUCUAACAUUGAAUCAGGGAAAGUUGCGGAGUUUGACAGCCCACAUAGACUUUUGGAGGACAAGACAUCAAUGUUUAUGAAACUAGUCUCUGAAUACUCUAUAAGGUCAAGCAGCAUUCCAGAUGCUUGAGCAAGAGCCUCUUUAUUACAUUAUGAAAACUGAAAGAUGAACGAAGAACUGAGGCUGUACCAAGCUGUGCACAGUUGACAAUGGGAAGUCGUCAAAAUGUAAUAAAGAGGAUCAUUGGAAGUUCUAUUAGGCCUUCAAGGAAGAUGAAUGGAGAGGCAGUUAACUGCCUCGUAGAGUUGAAAGCUUUCUUUUCGGAAGUUAACUGUAACUGCUGAAUCCGAUUCUUUAGUGAAGUUGAAAUAAUAGGAGAGUCCAACAAGUAGGUCAUAGGAAUUAAUUUUGACGUGUAAAAUCAUUGAACUUCACCUUUAAAUUUUGGUUAGAAAUGGUUUUUAUUAUAGAUUUUGUAUUUCAAGAUGUUUUGGAUGAGGUUUAAUGAGAAAGAUAUAAAGCAGUUUUCUG